rnacentral:rRNA from 1 species
GACGAACGCUGGCGGCGCGCCUAACACAUGCAAGUCGAACGGGGUUGAGAGGAGCUUGCUUUUCUUGACUUAGUGGCGAACGGGUGAGUAACGCGUGAGGAACCUCCCUCAAAGAGGGGGACAACAGUUGGAAACGCCUCCUAAUACCGCAUAAGCCCCGGGGCCCGCAUGGCUCUGAGGGAAAAAGGAGCAAUCCGCUUUGAGAUGGCCUCGCGUCCGAUUAGCUGGUUGGUGAGGUAACGGCCCACCAAGGCGACGAUCGGUAGCCGGACUGAGAGGUUGAACGGCCACAUUGGGACUGAGACACGGCCCAGACUCUUACGGGAGGCAGCAGUGGGGAAUAUUGGGCAAUGGACGCAAGUCUGACCCAGCAACGCCGCGUGAAGGAAGAAGGCUUUCGGGUUGUAAACUUCUUUUGUCAGGGAACAGUAGAAGAGGGUACCUGACGAAUAAGCCACGGCUAACUACGCCGCGGAGCCGCGGUAAUACGUAGGUGCAGCGUUGUCCGGAUUACUGGGUAGUAAAGGGCGUGCAGCCGGGCCGGCAAGUCAGAUGUGAAAUCUGGAGGCUUAACCUCCAAACUGCAUUUGAAACUGUUGGUCUUGAGUACCGGAGAGGUUAUCGGAAUUCCUUGUGUAGCGGUGAAAUGCGUAGAUAUAAGGAAGAACACCAGUGGCGAAGGCGGAUAACUGGACGGCAACUGACGGUGAGGCGCGAAAGCGUGGGGAGCAAACAGGAUUAGAUACCCUGGUAGUCCACGCUGUAAACGAUGGAUACUAGGUGUGCGGGGACUGACCCCCUGCGUGCCGCAGUUAACACAAUAAGUAUCCCACCUGGGGAGUACGAUCGCAAGGUUGAAACUCAAAGGAAUUGACGGCGGCCCGCACAAGCGGUGGAUUAUGUGGUUUAAUUCGAAGCAACGCGAAGAACCUUACCAGGGCUUGACAUCCUACUAACGAAGUAGAGAUACACCAGGUGCCCUUCGGGGAAAGUAGAGACAGGUGGUGCAUGGUUGUCGUCAGCUCGUGUCGUGAGAUGUUGGGUUAAUUCCCGCAACGAGCGCAAACCCUAUUGUUAGUUGCUACGCAAGAGCCUCUAGCGAGACUGCCGUUGACAAAACGGAGGAAGGUGGGGGACGACGUCAAAUCAUCAUGCCCCUUAUGUCCUGGGCUACACACGUAAUACAAUGGCGGGUCAACAGAGGGGAGGCAAAGCCGCGAGGCAGAGCAAACCCCCAAAAGCCGUCCCAGUUCGGAUCGCAGGCUGCAACCCGCCUGCGUGAAGUCGGAAUCGCUAGUAAUCGCGGAUCAGCAUGCCGCGGUGAAUACGUUCCCGGGCCUUGUACACACCGCCCGUCACACCAUGAGAGUCGGGAACACCCGAAGUCCGUAGUCUAACCGCAAGGAGGGCGCGGCCGAAGGUGGGUCUGAUAAUUGGGGUGA